rnacentral:rRNA from 1 species
AUUGAACGCUGGCGGCAUGCCUUACACAUGCAAGUCGAACGGCAGCACGGAGCUUGCUCUGGUGGCGAGUGGCGAACGGGUGAGCAAUAUAUCGGAACGUACCCAAGAGUGGGGGAUAACGUAGCGAAAGUUACGCUAAUACCGCAUACGAUCUAAGGAUGAAAGUGGGGGAUCGCAAGACCUCAUGCUCCUGGAGCGGCCGAUAUCUGAUUAGCUAGCUGGUGAGGUAAAGGCUCACCAAGGCAUCGAUCAGUAACUGGCCUGAGAGGACGACCAGCCACACUGGAACUGAGACACGGUCCAGACUCCUACGGGAGGCAGCAGUGGGGAAUUUUGGACAAUGGGGGCAACCCUGAUCCAGCAAUGCCGCGUGAGUGAAGAAGGCCUUCGGGUUGUAAAGCUCUUUUGUCAGGGAAGAAACGGUGAAGGCUAAUAUCCUUUGCUAAUGACGGUACCUGAAGAAUAAGCACCGGCUAACUACGUGCCAGCAGCCGCGGUAA